UACGUAGGGGGCUAGCGUUGUCCGGAAUCAUUGGGCGUAAAGCGCGUGUAGGCGGUUCGGUAAGUCUGCUGUGAAAGUCGGGGGCUCAACCCUCGAAUGCCGGUGGAUACUGUCGGACUAGAGUGCGGAAGAGGCGAGUGGAAUUCCUGGUGUAGCGGUGAAAUGCGCAGAUAUCAGGAGGAACACCAAUGGCGAAGGCAGCUCGCUGGGACGUGACUGACGCUGAGACGCGAAAGCGUGGGGAGCAAACAGG
rnacentral:rRNA from 1 species